rnacentral:rRNA from 1 species
UACAGAGGGUGCGAGCGUUAAUCGGAGUUACUGGGCGUAAAGGGUGCGUAGGUGGUUUUGUAAGUUAGGUGUGAAAGUCCUGGGCUUAACCUGGGGACUGCGCCUGAUACUGUGAGACUAGAGUAUUGUAGAGGAAAGUGGAAUUUCCGGUGUAGCGGUGAAAUGCGUAGAUAUCGGAAGGAACAUCAGUGGCGAAGGCGACUUUCUGGACAAAUACUGACACUGAGGCACGAAAGCGUGGGGAGCAAACAGG